CAUGCAGCAUAGAGAAGACCAGCAAGGGUGCCCUCACCAGCAUCAUGCAGACAUGGCCUUUUUUAUGAGCAUUCCUAUGAACGGAACAGUCAGCCACAUGUUGGCAUGUAUCCAGCCAGCAACCUUCACCUGUCAGCGGCAACAGCUUUCACAGGCUCAUCAUUUGUACAAAUACAGAAGUAACUUUGAUGAGGGGCCAGGAACUGCUCUACGCUGCUCAUUAAUGGGGCUCUGGCAAAGACCUCACCUCCAGCCUCACCUCUUGCCUGCUCACCAACGGUCGUCAAUGGGGAGAAUAGAAUUAAAAUCAUGUAUGGAGCCAGCACAUGGAGACCUGUAAGAUGAUGUGAUGAUGUCCAGAAUGACACACGG